GCCCAGAUAGCUCAGUCGGUAGAGCAGAGGACUGAAAAUCCUCGUGUCACUGGUUCGAUUCCGGUUCUGUGCACUA
rnacentral:tRNA from 1 species